rnacentral:rRNA from 1 species
GUUUGAUCCCUGGCUCAAGGAUGAACNCUGGCGGCGUGCUUAACACAUGCAAGUCGAACGGUGAACACGGAGCUUNCUCUGUGGGAUCAGUGGNNAACGGGUGAGUAACACGUGAGCAAUCCUGCCCCUGACUCUGGGAUAAGCGCUGGAAACGGCGUCUAAUACUGGAUACGAGUAGCGACCGCAUGGUCAGUUACUGGAAAGAUUUAUUGGUUGGGGAUGGGCUCGCGGCCUAUCAGCUUGUUGGUGAGGUAAUGGCUCACCAAGGCGUCGACGGGUAGCCGGCCUGAGAGGGUGACCGGCCACACUGGGACUGAGACACGGCCCAGACUCCUACGGGAGGCAGCAGUGGGGAAUAUUGCACAAUGGGCGCAAGCCUGAUGCAGCAACGCCGCGUGAGGGAUGACGGCCUUCGGGUUGUAAACCUCUUUUAGCAGGGAAGAAGCGAAAGUGACGGUACCUGCAGAAAAAGCGCCGGCUAACUACGUGCCAGCCNCCGCGGUAAU